AGGACGAACGCUGGCGGCGUGCUUAACACAUGCAAGUCAAGGGGGCCCAGCAAUGGGCAACCGGCGAACGGGUGCGUAACACGUGAGCAACCUACCGAACUGUGGGGGAUAGCCGGCCUAACGGCCGAGUAAUACCGCAUACGCUCUCAGAGAGGCAUUUCUUUGAGAGGAAACCUACGGGACAGAUCGAGGGGCUCGCGGCCUAUCAGCUAGUUGGCGAGGUAACGGCUCACCAAGGCAACGACGGGUAGCU
rnacentral:rRNA from 2 species